UGGAUCAGUGAUAAACAGUUCUGGGGCAUAUGGAUCAAUAAUUCUGAUUAAGCCUUAAGCUGAAGUCCAU
rnacentral:snoRNA from 1 species